AGACAUCGUAUGAGAAAGCACUGUAAAACUCUUUGUUCUGUUAGCUGAUGUAUGUAGCCCCCAGUCACGUUUCCCACGCUUGCUUGAUGUAUCAUGACCCUUUCACAUGGACCCCUUAAAGUUGUAAGCAUUUAAAAAGGCCAGUGAUUUCUUUUUUGAGGAGCUCUGCUCUUAAGACGCGAGUCUGCGGACGAUCCCGGCCAAAUGAUAAACCUCUUCCUUCUUUAAUCCGGUGUCUGAGGAGUUUUGUCUGCGACUCAUCCUGCUACAUUUCUUGGUUCCUUGACCGGGAAGCGAGGUGAUUAACGGUCGGUUGAGGCAGCCCCUUAGGCGGCUUAGGCAUACCCUGUGGAGCAUCCCUGUGGGGGACUCCGGCCAGCUUGAGCGACGUGGAUCCUGAGAGCGCUCCGGGGUAGGCAAUUGCCCGGGUGGAACACCUCGUCAGAGCAGUGCGUGGCAGGCCCCCGUGGAGGAUCAACGCAGUGGCUGAACACCGGGAAGGAACGGGCACUUGGAGUCCGGACAUCUGAAACUUGGUAUGUAUCACUGAUUCUCAAAAGAGGAAAAUUAAGGAGUGUCAAAAAGAGAACGAGAGAGAAGCAGGAUGCUCUGGAGAAUGAAGCUCUCAACAUUAAAACAAAGGGGCUUUGCUGUCCUCACCUUACAAC
rnacentral:lncRNA from 10 species